GCAUCAUCAGUAGCGCAUCACCUUAAUUCAUCAUUCUAUAGUUUUGUCGGCAUGAAUUCAUGGAUGGAUACUGAGGCACACGAGAGGUCGCUGCAAUGGAUGAGGGAACUGCAGUACCAAAUGGGUGCUUCCCAUAAACUCCUUGAGAAUGUGACCAUUCAAAAACAGUACAAUCUCGUCAAUUUACCAACGCAAGACGCUCUUUUACUGUAUAUUUACGCCUACCGGGAAAACAAUUUUCUGCAGACGCUGAGAAAAAAU